AUGCACGCUGGCGGCGUGCUUAACACAUGCCAGUCGAACGAUGAAGCCCAGCUUGCUGGGUGGAUUAGUGGCGAACGGGUGAGUAACACGUGAGUAACCUGCCCUUAACUCUGGGAUAAGCCUGGGAAACUGGGUCUAAUACCGGAUAGGAGCGUCCACCGCAUGGUGGGUGUUGGAAAGAUUUAUCGGUUUUGGAUGGACUCGCGGCCUAUCAGCUUGUUGGUGAGGUAAUGGCUCACCAAGGCGACGACGGGUAGCCGGCCUGAGAGGGUGACCGGCCACACGGGGACUGAGACACGGCCCAGACUCCUACGGGAGGCAGCAGUGGGGAAUAUUGCACAAUGGGCGCAAGCCUGAUGCAGCGACGCCGCGUGAGGGAUGACGGCCUUCGGGUUGUAAACCUCUUUCAGUAGGGAAGAAGCGAAGUGACGGUACCUGCAGAAGAAGCACCGGCUAACUACGUG
rnacentral:rRNA from 1 species